AGAGUUUGAUCCUGGCUCAGAAUCAACGCUGGCGGCGUGCCUAACACAUGCAAGUCGCACGAGAAAGGGGAGCAAUCCCUGAGUAAAGUGGCGCACGGGUGAGUAACACGUGAAUGAUCUACCUCCGAGUGGGGAAUAACUGAGAGAAAUCUUAGCUAAUACCGCAUAACACUUACGAGUCAAAGCAGCAAUGCGCUUGGAGAGGAGUUCGCGGCCGAUUAGCUAGUUGGCGGGGUAAUGGCCCACCAAGGCGAUGAUCGGUAUCCGGCCUGAGAGGGCGCACGGACACACUGGAACUGAAACACGGUCCAGACUCCUACGGGAGGCAGCAGUGGGGAAUUUUGCGCAAUGGGGGAAACCCUGACGCAGCAACGCCGCGUGGAGGAUGAAGUAUCUUGGUACGUAAACUCCUUUCGAUGGGGAAGAUAAUGACGGUACCCAUAGAAGAAGCCCCGGCUAACUUCGUGCCAGCAGCCGCGGUAAUACGAGGGGGGCAAGCGUUGUUCGGAAUUAUUGGGCGUAAGGGGUGCGUAGGCGGUUUGACAAGUCUGAUGUGAAAUCUCUGGGCUCAACCCAGAGUCUGCAUCGGAAACUGUCGGGCUUGAGUAUGGGAGAGGUGAGUGGAAUUUCCGGUGUAGCGGUGAAAUGCGUAGAUAUCGGAAGGAACACCUGUGGCGAAAGCGGCUCACUGGACCAUAACUGACGCUGAGGCACGAAA
rnacentral:rRNA from 1 species